AUUGAACGCUGGCGGCAUGCCUUACACAUGCAAGUCGAACGGUAACAGGUCUUCGGAUGCUGACGAGUGGCGAACGGGUGAGUAAUACAUCGGAACGUGCCCGAUCGUGGGGGAUAACGAAGCGAAAGCUUUGCUAAUACCGCAUAAGAUCUACGGAUGAAAGCAGGGGACCGCAAGGCCUUGCGCGAACGGAGCGGCCGAUGGCAGAUUAGGGAGUUGGUGGGAUAAAAGCUUACCAAGCCGGCGAUCUGUAGCUGGUUUGAGAGGACGACCAGCCACACUGGGACUGAGACACGGCCCAGACUCCUACGGGAGGCAGCAGUGGGGAAUUUUGGACAAUGGGCGAAAGCCUGAUCCAGCCAUGCCGCGUGCAGGAUGAAGGCCUUCGGGUUGUAAACUGCUUUUGUACGGAACGAAAAGACUCUUUCUAAUAAAGAGGGUCCAUGACGGUACCGUAAGAAUAAGCACCGGCUAACUACGUGCCAGCCGCCGCGUAACAC
rnacentral:rRNA from 1 species